rnacentral:rRNA from 1 species
GUCGCCUCCUAAAAGGUAACGGAGGCGCUCAAAGGUUCCCUCAGAAUGGUUGGAAAUCAUUCAUAGAGUGUAAAGGCAUAAGGGAGCUUGACUGCGAGACCUACAAGUCGAGCAGGGUCGAAAGACGGACUUAGUGAUCCGGUGGUUCCGCAUGGAAGGGCCAUCGCUCAACGGAUAAAAGCUACCCCGGGGAUAACAGGCUUAUCUCCCCCAAGAGUUCACAUCGACGGGGAGGUUUGGCACCUCGAUGUCGGCUCAUCGCAUCCUGGGGCUGUAGUCGGUCCCAAGGGUUGGGCUGUUCGCCCAUUAAAGCGGUACGCUAGCUGGGUUCAGAACGUCGUGAGACAGUUCGGUCCCUAUCCGUCGUGGGCGUAGGAAAUUUGAGAGGAGCUGUCCUUAGUACGAGAGGACCGGGAUGGACAUACCUCUGGUGUACCAGUUGUCGUGCCAACGGCAUAGCUGGGUAGCUAUGUGUGGACGGGAUAAGUGCUGAAAGCAUCUAAGCAUGAAGCCCCCCUCAAGAUGAGAUUUCCCAACUUCGGUUAUAAGAUCCCUCAAAGAUGAUGAGGUUAAUAGGUUCGAGGUGGAAGCAUGGUGACAUGUGGAGCUGACGAAUACUAAUCGAUCGAAGACUUAAUCAA